rnacentral:lncRNA from 1 species
AUUUCUACUGUAAAUGGUAAAAUACACAUCAAAGAAUAAAGCUCCAAAAUAGAGAGGCGGAACGAAGGUGGAGAUUAACUUACACACUUAGGUAGAUACAUAAUAAAAAAAAAUAUGUAACAUAAAUGAAGAUUUAAUGUUGUUCGGAAGAAAAAUGAAGAUUUUAUAUUUAAAUUUAUUGUAGGUUCACAUUAUGCAGCUAACUAUAUAUGAUGAAUAUAUAUAUAUUUAUUGAAGACCAAAGAGUGGAAAGGACAAUCAUAUUGUUAACGAACAUAAAUUCUAAAAUAUAUAAAGAUCAAAAACUUAGAUUAAUUAGUCAUAUAUCAUAUGACAAAAAAUAUUAGUCAUAUACCAUAUAAUUUUAAAAUUAAUUAAAACAAUGUAGAAAAAUUAGUAAUUGUCAUAACACCAUUAACAAGAUUUUGCUUUAACAAUUAUAUAAAUACUAUUUCAAAUAAAAAUAAAAAUUAACAAAAAAAAUAAAAUACAAAAGAAUAUACAUCAUACCACGUAUAAGGUCAUCGAAGCUAAAAUAAAAUCAAACUAACUGUUCACAUAUAGUGUGUUAGUUAUGCUACUUAUUUUUUAGUUUCAAAAAUUAUAAUCUUAUUGUGUAAUAUGUAAAUAUAUAUAUGAUACUUAGUAAAAUAAUUAACAAAUCCUACUCCAAAUUUACUGUAAAAAUAACAAAAAAUAAAGAAAAUUAUUUAACGGGUAAAACAUUUUUAAAAAUUACAAACUCAAAAAAAGAAAUUUACAUUUUUGUCAAAAUAAUAAGUUAACAAUUUAAAAUAUAUAAACCGCGCGUAGCGCAGUAAAAAACUCUAGUAUACAUAAUAUGACACUUUCCUCUCUUUUGAAAGUGUCUACAUAUGCAUUUUUUAAUGAUAGUGACGUCCGCGUACAUUUAGUUUUUUUGGGCGACUGAUUUGUUUGGUUUGAGUCUAAGGAAAUAAUUGUUGGUCAGUUCUCAGUGUUUGGUUCGAUAAAUAAGGAAAUAAUUGUUGGUCAGUUCUCAGUGUUUGGUAUGAUUGAAAAGAAAAACAUGAAAACGCAGUGUUUUCUACUUUAGUUGACUGGGGCGUCAUCGCUUUCCCUCUUCCACAGAUGAACUCACCGUCUCCGUUUUUCUAAAUCUUCAAAGUUUCUGUUCUCAUCUCUUCACAUUCCCUGAAGUUGAAUGAUUCGUAAAAUUAGGAAAUAACUGAUAACCACCUUAAACUCUGUAACGAUCCUGACCUCUUUGUUUCUUCUCCGUCAAAUCUAUAAAUAAGGGAUGGUUGAGAUAUGGCUGCGAUAGACUAUGGAUUUGAUCCACUUUUAUCCAUGGUUUAUAAGUAUUUUAACUACUAUUUAUUAUAUUAUAGAGUCUAAUUAUAGGAUCAUGAGUGAUUUGGAA